rnacentral:rRNA from 1 species
CCCCUAGAUGUUCUGGGCCGCACGCGCGCUACACUGAACAGUUCAACAAGUCUUAACCUUGGCCGAUAGGUCUGGGUAAUCUUUGAACGCUGUUCGUGAUUGGGAUAGACCUUUGCAAUUAUGGGUCUUCAACGAGGAAUUCCUAGUAGACGCAAGUCAUCAGCUUGCAUUGAUUACGUCCCUGCCCUUUGUACACACCGCCCGUCGCACCUACCGAUUGAAUGGUCCGGUGAAAUCUCGGGACGGCGGCUUGGUCGCUUGCGUCCGACUGCUGAAACUUGAUUAAACCAUAUCAUUUAGAGGAAGGUGAAGUCGUAACA